rnacentral:rRNA from 1 species
GACGAACGCUGGCGGCGUGCUUAACACAUGCAAGUCGAACGGAAAGGCCCUGCUUUUGUGGGGUGCUCGAGUGGCGAACGGGUGAGUAGCACUUGAGUAACCUGCCCUUGACUUUGGGAUAACUUCAGGAAACUGGGGCUAAUACCGGAUAGGAGCUCCUGCCGCAUGGUGGGGGUUGGAAAGUUUCGGCGGUUGGGGAUGGACUCGCGGCUUAUCAGCUUGUUGGUGGGGUAGUGGCUUACCAAGGCUUUGACGGGUAGCCGGCCUGAGAGGGUGACCGGCCAAAUGGGGACUGAGAUACGGCCCAGACUCCUACGGGAGGCAGCAGUGGGGAAUAUUGCACAAUGGGCGGAAGCCUGAUGCAGCAACGCCGCGUGCGGGAUGACGGCCUUCGGGUUGUAAACCGCUUUCGCCGGUGACGAAGCGUGAGUGACGGUAAUGGGUAAAGAAGCACCGGCUAACUACGUG